ACUAUGGAAGCUGCAUAAAUUGCAGUAUUAGCUGUAUGAGUGGGCUUUGCAAUUCUGCGAAAGUAAAUGACUGCAUUGAUGGUCUUGAAGACAAAGAUUGCUCAGAACGACGAAUUUACAUUGGUUCUACAACAAUAAGUGCCCUCUCAGCUUUAUCGGUAGUUUUGGGCAUUUCGCUUAUUUGCACAGCUGCUGGUUGCUAUCUGUGGAACAGACGAAUGUCUAAACCAACAGAACCGGAAGAUUAGCUUGAAACUGAAAUGACCUAUGAACAGCUACAAAGACAGGCAAACGAACCAACAUACACAAAUGCUGACGAAAAUUAUUCCGUGCUUUCAACGUAGAAGUUAAAAACAGUUUUUGCAUGAGAGAAUGAGUAUAACGAGAUUUUGCAUUUUUAUUCCGAACUUAAAGAACACAUUCAGGUUUGGUUUUACACCUGUUGCCAGUUGAUAUAAAUUUGCAGUUGUAGUAUUAAUAUGUAUCGAAAAUUGAUUAUUUAAUUUCAGAACAAUAUAUCCAGUGUGUACAUUAUUUAACGUUAUGUAUGUAUAUAUUUUCGUCAUACAUGUAACACUACAUGUUUAGGACGUCCUGUUUUGUGCCCGAAUGCUCUAAACACUAUGUAAAUGUUGGGAAAAUGUGAGGUGGAACUUGGUUAGUUAGUAAACGCCGCCGUAUGUGGUUAUCCUUACACUUUUACAUGGUCAUUGAUACGUAUUAGGCUGCUGGGCUUAUCCAGUAAAGUAAAACAUAGUUACA